GCAUAUUAGCUUUUUAUUAUAUAAGAUUCCUCUUCAUCCUGGCAAUAUUCUUUGUUUGAAAUCUGUGUUAAUAAAGCAGGUAUGAAUAUGGUGAUUUCAGCUUUCUUUUGAUUAAUGUUAGUAUAGUAUAUCUUUUUAUCUCCUUAUACUUUUCACCUGUGUCUUUAUAUUUAGCCUGUCUGUGUCUGUGUGCAUGUAGACAGCAGAUAGUUGGGUUUUGUUUUUGUUGUUCGAUUCAGUCUGACAAUCUCCACCUUUAAUUUGGAGGUUUUUUAAAAAAAGAAUAUUUUAUGUAGUUAUGAUUUGUUUAGGUUUAAUUCUACCAUCUUAUUUUAGGUUUCUCUUAGUUCUAUAAGUUCUUUGUGUCCUUUCCCCCUUUUUUCUGUCUUAUUUUAAGUUAGGUUGUUGUUGUCAUUUUAAUGAAUCCCUGUUAUCUCCACUCCAGGCUUACUAGCUACAUCUAUUGGUUAUUUUAUAAUGGCUGCUCUAGAUUUAUACACAUUUAACUGUUUGUAGCCAAACUUCAAGUAAUAUACUACUUACAUAGCGUGUAAGGUCCUUGAAACAAUGAACUGCCAUUUCUUUCUUCUAAUUCUCAUUUCUGUUUUACCUCUGCAUGUUAUAAACCCAAUAAUAAGUUAUUGUUAUUUUGUUUUAAAUAUUCAUUAUCUUUUAAAAAGAUUAAAAAUGAGAAUAAAAAUCUUUAAUAUUUAUCUCUAUAUGGAUCAUUUCCAGCUCUUCAUUCCUUUGUUUAAGUUCAAAUGUCCAUCUAGUAUCAUUCUCUUUCUGUUUGAUGAACUUUCUUUUAACAUUUCUUACACUUGCAACUCUGAUGGUAGUAAAUUCUUUUAGCUUUUGUUGGUAAAGUCUCUAUUUUCACUUUUGAAAGACAUUCGUACUAGGUAUAGAAUUCCGGGAUAAUAUCUUCCCGUAUUAAGGAUGUUUCUCCAUUGUCUUCUGUCCUGCAUAGUUUCUGAAAAGCAGUUUAUUUUCAUUCUCUCUAUUCCUUUUAACUAAUGUCUUUAUCUGACUGCUUUCAUUUUUUUUUCUUUAUCACUCACUGGUUUUGAUGUGGUGUGCCUUUCUGUGGUUUUCUUUAUAUUUAUUCUAUUUAGGGUUUGUUAAGUUUUCUUGGGUCUGUGGGAUCGUUGUUUUCCUCAAAAUUUAAAAAAAAAAAAUUAGCCAUAAUUUUUCAAUUAUUUUUUCUGUGCUCUCCCUCUCUCUUUUUGAUUCUAGUUACACGUUAGACAACCUAAUAUUGCCUCCGUAAUCUGUUAAUUUGUUUUUCAGUCUCUGUGUUUUAUUUUUGAUAAUUUUUAUUGUAUCUUAAAGUUGACUGAUUGUCUAUAAUGUCUAAUCUGCUAUUAACCUCAUCCAGUGUACUUUUUAUUUCAGAUAUAAAUGUUACUGGAUUUGCUUUGUAUCUAUUUCUCUGCUUCCUUUUGUUCUACCUUCUUACUACGUGAAGUAUAUUUAUAAUAAAUUUUUAACAGCUUUAUUGAGACAUAAUUCACAUUGGUAUCUAUUUACCCAUCUAAAGUGUAUAAGUCAGUGGUUUUUAGUACAUUAAUAGAAUUGUGCUGCUAUCGCCACAGUAUAAUUUUGGAACAUUUUCAUCACCCCACAGGGAAACUUUGUACCCAUUAGCAGUCACUCCCCAUUCUGUCUCACUUAUCUGCAGCCCAGGCAGCCACUAAUCUCUCUUGUCUCUAAAGAUUUGGCUAUUUAGGACACUUCAUAUAAUGCAAUCAUAUAGUACAGUAUCAGUAUAACUUUAGAACAUUUUCAUCACCACACAAAGAAACUUUGUACCCAUUAGCAGUCACUCCCCAUUGUGUCUCAUCUCCAGCCAGGCAACCACUAAUCUCUCUGUCUCUAAAGAUUUGGCAAUAUUUAGGACACUUCAUGUAAAUGAAAUAAUAUAGUAUGGGGUCUUUUGUGACUAUUUUCUUUCGCUUAGCAUAACGUUUCCAAGGUUCAUCCAGGUUGUAGCAUGUAUCAGUGCUUCAUUCCUUUUUAUUGCUGAAUAAUAUUCCAUUACAUGGAUAUACCACAUGUUAAUCAUUCAUAAGUUGAUGGACAUUUGGAAUGCUUUUACUUUUUGGCUAUUAUGAGUACAACUGGUAGGAAUAUUUGUGUACAGGUUUUUGUGUGGACCUAUAUUUUCAUUUCUUUUGGGGAUUCUGCCUAUAUAUCAAAGGCAUAGUACCUUAUACUUUCUAACCUAAGUCCCUGAAUAAUGUCACUUCAUUAUCAUGUUGAUGAGAGGUGGUAAGAACUUAACUCUUGUUUAUAUCAAUUAGCCUGUAGUAAAAUCGGUUUCAUUAUAUGUCGUUUAGCUUAAAGCCACAGACCCUUUUGACGGCAUUAAGAGAAGACUUACUAUAGCUAGGAGGAAUUUCUGGGUCAUAUUGUAACUUUGAGUUUAACCAUUUGAGGAACUGCCAAACUUUUCCAAAGAAGCUACACGAGUUUACUAACUUGUUUAAUGCUCUUGUUUGCUAAUUGUUGGUCAUUUGUGCACCUGUUUCUAUGGAUUGAUUUUUUUCCUCCUGGUUAUGGGUUAUUUUUUUUACUUUGCAUUCCCGAUAAUUUUUGCUUGGGUGCCAGACACACAUUGUUCGGUGCUAGGUUUUGUUGUAUUUCUUUAAAUAGUGCUGGACUUCGUUCUGGCGUGCAGUUAAGGUACUGGGACUUAGUUGUGUCAUUUUGAAGCUAGCCUUUAGGCUUUGUUAGGGUGGGUCCAAAGCAGCCUUUAGUUUAGGGAUGACUGGGCUUUAAUACUAAGGUGAUAGCUUUCUGAGGAUUUUAAUCUGAUGCCAUGUGUAUUACGAAUUAUUUCCACUUUUGCCUCUGGAAGCAUGAACUAUUACCAGCCCUGUGUGAACUCUGGGACUUCUUAGACAAACCGUUUUCUGUUGCUUCUCUCCCUGACUUUAGGUAGUCUCCUCUCACGCAGAUCAGAACUCAAGCCAAGGGUCUCAGGGACCUCUGGGGUCCCCCUCCUCCCAGGAGGGAGGCAGUUUCUUUAGGAGGAAAAUAUGUGGUGUCCUUUGCAGAUGGAAGGGGCUGUGCAUGUUUGAAGGCAUCAUGCUUUCCUGGUGGAAUUGGGACCAUUUGAAUUAAGAAGUCAUGUUUCCGAGUCAGAGGAUGAGAACACCAAGUUGUUACUUAUUUUGGAAAGAACUAAUCAUUUGUUUACAGUAAAAAAUAGAGAACCACCUACAAGUUGUGUUGGUUUGUCCAAUGGAAUUAGAAGUAAUGGAGAAAUUUGUAUUCCUCAGUGAAAAUAUGGCAGGUAGGAGUCCUGUGCCACCAAGAUCCUGAAAUCUGGAUUGUUUGUAUACUGCGACAGAGCAUGAGAGAAUGAAAGGGAGGAGGGGAGACAGAGAUAGAGAAACAUCGAUGUGAGAGACACUUUGAUUAGUUGCCCUGACGGGGGCCAAGGAUCGAGCCUGCAACCGAAGUCUAUUGAUGUGAACUAGUGAAGAUCCUAGGUUGCUAAUAGGACCACAGUUAAAAGGGCAUUUGUGUGGUUGUUCUUCCUUGGUAGACAGCCGGUUAAAAGCGGAUGGGGCUAGGGUUGCAGAGAGGAAGCUGCUCGGAGCAGGCUUGGAGGAGAGGAAGUAGCCUGAGUCUAUUCAGUGUCAGAGCACACUUCAGUAUGACCCUGGGCAUCCAGUGUCCAUUACACCCAGCGCACUCUUUUAAAAUGGCUAACAUUUCAAUGUUUUGGCAUUGAAAAGUAA